rnacentral:rRNA from 1 species
AGAGUUUGAUCCUGGCUCAGGAUGAACGCUAGCUACAGGCUUAACACAUGCAAGUCGAGGGGCAGCAUCGCGAUAGCUUGCUAUUGCGGAUGGCGACCGGCGCACGGGUGAGUAACGCGUAUCCAACCUUCCCGCAACUGGGGAAUAACCUUGCGAAAGUAAGACUAAUACCCCAUGGUCUCCACGGAUGGCAUCUGAAAUAGAGUAAAGGUUUCGGCUGGUUGCGGAUGGGGAUGCGUCCGAUUAGCUUGACGGCGGGGUAACGGCCCACCGUGGCAUCGAUCGGUAGGGGUUCUGAGAGGAAGGUCCCCCACAUUGGAACCGAGACACGGUCCAAACUCCUACGGGAGGCAGCAGUGAGGAAUAUUGGUCAAUGGGCGGAAGCCUGAACCAGCCAAGUAGCGUGAAGGACGACUGCCCUAUGGGUUGUAAACUUCUUUUAUGCGGGGAUAAAGUUCGCCACGUGUGGCGUUUUGCAGGUACCGCAUGAAUAAGGACCGGCUAAUUCCGUGCCAGCAGCCGCGGUAAUACGGAAGGUCCAGGCGUUAUCCGGAUUCAUUGGGUUUAAAGGGAGCGUAGGCCGCCUUUUAAGCGUGUUGUGAAAUGUAGGGGCUCAACCCCUGCACUGCAGCGCGAACUGGAGGGCUUGAGUACACACAAAGUAGGCGGAAUUCAUGGUGUAGCGGUGAAAUGCUUAGAUAUCAUGAAGAACCCCGAUUGCGAGGCAGCUUACUGGAGUGUAACUGACGCUGAAGCUCGAAAGCGCGGGUAUCGAACAGGAUUAGAUACCCUGGUAGUCCGCGCGGUAAACGAUGGAUGCCCGCUGUUUGCCACUUUGGUAAGCGGCCAAGCGAAAGCGUUAAGCAUCCCACCUGGGGAGUACGCCGGCAACGGUGAAACUCAAAGGAAUUGACGGGGGCCCGCACAAGCGGAGGAACAUGUGGUUUAAUUCGAUGAUACGCGAGGAACCUUACCCGGGCUUGAAUUGCAGGAGAACGAUCCAGAGAUGGUGAGGCCCUUCGGGGCUCCUGUGAAGGUGCUGCAUGGUUGUCGUCAGCUCGUGCCGUGAGGUGUCGGCUUAAGUGCCAUAACGAGCGCAACCCCUCUCCGUAGUUGCCAUCGGGUGAAGCCGGGCACUCUGCGGAUACUGCCACCGUAAGGUGUGAGGAAGGUGGGGAUGACGUCAAAUCAGCACGGCCCUUACGUCCGGGGCUACACACGUGUUACAAUGGGGCAUACAGAAAGCAGGCGGCCGGCAACGUCCGUCUAAUCAUCAAAGUGUCCCUCAGUUCGGACUGGGGUCUGCAACCCGACCCCACGAAGCUGGAUUCGCUAGUAAUCGCGCAUCAGCCAUGGCGCGGUGAAUACGUUCCCGGGCCCUUGUACACACCGCCCGUC